GAACAAGACCAGUUCAUGGAUGCAGAAUACGAGCAAGUCAGUAGGCCAUGGAACGAGCUAUACAAGGAAGCGACGCUUGGCAACAAACUGGUGGUCAACGUCGGGUCGGAGGAUGCGGAGAUUCCUUUGCUCCCUUCCAACUACCUGACGAAAGCCCGACUAGCGAUGAGUGGCGGUUACAUCACGAUGCGUAUGAUCCGGAUACGGAUUGUCCCCUUGGUUUCAAGGAAUUCUGGAGUGUCGGGAAGGCUAUUUCUAAGAGAUAUCACAGAUACGACUGGAAAGAAGCUUCACUCGACAGAGCUCUUGGAUCUUGGCAAGGAGAUAAGGUUAUCACUGAGGCAUCUCGAUUUCUCGGUGUCGACCAGGUCAGCUGUACCUAUAGUAUUCGGGUUCGAGGAGUUAGUAUCACCCUAUCUGGAGGGUCGAGAGCUCUUCUCCGUCUCGUUUCGAUGGCAGAUCGGAUUAAGCGCUCAGAGCUACAGUUUGCCACAAGUGCCGUGGAAAGUGUUGUAUCAAGAGGAUGCCCUGAGGAGGAAACUCCCAAAGAAAGCGAAUAAGACAAACUCUCCGCCUAAUGUCUGAUGAUGUGAGGAACGUGGACUGUGAUGUGGUGGUGCGGUACCAUGGCUGGUCACCAUGGUAAUGCGUAGGGCAACACAGUUCAUUAAGACUCACUGAUGAUGGCACUAGGCACGGUUCACCCCCAUCCUUCGGGAGGGCUAUAGGGGGUGACCGGGUUACACCACCGGAAGACCGGAACAUUGCCUUUGGGCAGCCC
rnacentral:misc_RNA from 1 species